GCAAAUGAAGGCAUUCCUCUGGACCCCAAGGCAUCUCCCCAAGAUGACCACAGUUGUCCCUGAAGAAGCAGUCACAGCAAGCUCACUUCACAGGAACCAAGCUGUGGGCUGAUCCUACAGACUUGAAAAGACAACUCAAAAAGAUUGUCUGUGGGGUCAGAAACAGCUCUGGAGGGGUCUGCAGAAAUUACUUUCCCAAGUCUUUGGGCUGGAAGGAACGAACAGUGCCUGACCAAGGACUUUGAGCAGGAGAGAGAUGGGAGCAGAGAGGAGCCAAGGUCUACUAUUUUCACUUCUGUCAAUUAGAUCAAAGCCCUGCCCAGAAGCUUUGAGCGCCGCUGUCAAGUCCCAUUCCUCCCCUAAACCAUCCAGGUUCCAUCUGCCUUGAAGCCAAAGGAUCUUCUUAGAUUCCUCAAGAAAAAUUCAGGCCCCGAGUUUCUCCACCAGCACUCUCCUCUCCCCGAAGGAGUGGGUGGGCUGCAUUUCUCUUCAUAUUCUAUUCCAUUCCAGACCGUCUUGGACUACCAGCCUGUCCGCCACCCCUCGGGGCCCUCCCUCCUACUCUGCCCUUGCCCGCUGAGGUCCCAAGCUGAGGAGAUGAGCCGAGCAGUAAAAAGAGAGGAGGUUUGGAAAAGCAAUGUCCUCUCAGUCUUUAAUAGGUGGCCCCCCUGGGAACCUGCUGGAAGUGGAAGUUAAUAAGCUGAAGGUGGUCACAACCAAUCUCUGCCACACUCGCACCCUACCCCACCCCAAAUCAUUCCUUUUAAUUAAUAGUGGAAGACCUUUUUAAAAAUGUAACAUGAAUUGGCUAUUUCUUGAGGCAAACAAAAGGUGGCUCUGAAGCGAUAUAUUUGUACUCGUAUAAAUU
rnacentral:lncRNA from 1 species